ACACCAAUGGCGAAGGCAGGUCUCUGGGCCGUUACUGACGCUGAGGAGCGAAAGCGUGGGGAGCGAACAGGAUUAGAUACCCUGGUAGUCCACGCCGUAAACGGUGGAUGCUGGAUGUGGGGACCAUUCCACGGUCUCCGUGUCGGAGCCAACGCGUUAAGCAUCCCGCCUGGGGAGUACGGCCGCAAGGCUAAAACUCAAAGAAAUUGACGGGGGCCCGCACAAGCGGCGGAGCAUGCGGAUUAAUUCGAUGCAACGCGAAGAACCUUACCUGGGCUUGACAUGUUCCCGACAGCCGUAGAGAUACGGUCUCCCUUCGGGGCGGGUUCACAGGUGGUGCAUGGUCGUCGUCAGCUCGUGUCGUGAGAUGUUGGGUUAAGUCCCGCAACGAGCGCAACCCUCGCCCUGUGUUGCCAGCACGUCGUGGUGGGAACUCACGGGGGACCGCCGGGGUCAACUCGGAGGAAGGUGGGGAUGACGUCAGAUCAUCAUGCCCCUUACGUCCAGGGCUUCACGCAUGCUACAAUGGCCGGUACAACGGGAUGCGACACCGCGAGGUGGAGCGGAUCCCUUAAAACCGGUCUCAGUUCGGAUUGGAGUCUGCAACCCGACUCCAUGAAGGCGGAGUCGCUAGUAAUCGCGGAUCAGCAACGCCGCGGUGAAUGCGUUCCCGGGCCUUGUACACACCGCCCGUCAAGUCAUGAAAGUGGGUAGCACCCGAAGCCGGUGGCCCAACCUUUUGGGGGGAGCCGUCUAAGGUGAGACUCGUGAUUGGGACUAAGUCGUAACAAGGUAGCCGUACCGGAAGGUGCGGCUG
rnacentral:rRNA from 1 species